rnacentral:rRNA from 1 species
ACGAACGCUGGCGGCGUGCCUAAUACAUGCAAGUCGAGCGGACUAAUUAAGAGCUUGCUCUUAUGAGGUUAGCGGCGGACGGGUGAGUAACGCGUGGGCAACCUGCCCUGUAGACUGGGAUAACAUCGAGAAAUCGGUGCUAAUACCGGAUAAUUGUUGGAACUGCAUAGUUCUAACUUAAAAGAUGGCUCCGGCUAUCACUAUAGGAUGGGCCCGCGGCGCAUUAGCUAGUUGGUAAGGUAAUGGCUUACCAAGGCGACGAUGCGUAGCCGACCUGAGAGGGUGAUCGGCCACACUGGGACUGAGACACGGCCCAGACUCCUACGGGAGGCAGCAGUAGGGAAUCUUCCGCAAUGGACGAAAGUCUGACGGAGCAACGCCGCGUGAGUGAUGAAGGUUUUCGGAUCGUAAAGCUCUGUUGUUAGGGAAGAACAAGUGCCGUUCGAAUAGGGCGGCACCUUGACGGUACCUAACCAGAAAGCCACGGCUAACUACGUG